CAAUCUGCCUUGGAUGGGGGAAUAACGGCUGGAAACAGCCGCUAAUACCGCAUGAUACAGCUGGGAGGCAUCUCCCUGGCUGUCAAAGAUUUAUCGCUCUGAGAUGAGCUCGCGUCUGAUUAGCUAGUUGGCGGGGUAACGGCCCACCAAGGCGACGAUCAGUAGCCGGACUGAGAGGUUGGCCGGCCACAUUGGGACUGAGACACGGCCCAGACUCCUACGGAAGGCAGCAG
rnacentral:rRNA from 1 species